rnacentral:lncRNA from 1 species
GAUGCCUGGUAAGAUGUUUUAUUGCACUACUCGCCUCUCUCUGUGAAAUGUCGAAUUGGGCUUAUGGUGUUUUCUCCUUAAGGUCCACCUGGUUUGCUUGGUCAUCCAGGACUAGAAGGACCUAGAGGGCCCAAAGGAAGUUCAGGAGAGACAGGUGCUGAUGGUUCACCUGGACCAAGGGGAAGAGAGGGACUUGCUGGGCUCCGUGGGGAGCCUGGCCCACCAGGAAUUGGCGAGAAAGGGGAUAGAGGAUCUCCUGGGGAGUCUGGUGCUCCCGGGCCUCAAGGUUUAUAUGGUCCAGCAGGUCCCAAAGGUGAAAUGGGAGUUCAAGGUGUCCCUGGUCUGCAAGGUAAGAUAUAGUUAUUUUUUUUAUCAGCAUAGUCAUUUUGAAAAAUAUUCACAGCAUUUCUGUUGUCUUGUAGGUGCUCCUGGUCUUCAAGGGUUCCGUGGAGAUCCUGGUGAUCCAGGACCAAAGGGUACAUAGAUUUGUAUCUUGAGAAAAAAAACAAUGUAUAUGUG